rnacentral:rRNA from 1 species
GAGUUUGAUCCUGGCUCAGAACGAACGUUGGCGGCGUGGAUUAGGCAUGCAAGUCGAACGCGAAAGUUUCCUUCGGGGAGCGAGUAGAGUGGCGAACGGGUGAGUAAUGCGUAGAUGACCUACCCAGAUGAUCGGGACAACCACUCGAAAGGGUGGCUAAUACCGGAUGUGGUCGGAUUCCUGCGGGUUUCCUACGAAAGAUGGCCUCUGACUCAAGCUGUCGCAUUUGGAGGGGUUUACGUGCUAUUAGCUUGUUGGUGGGGUAACGGCCUACCAAGGCGAUGAUGGCUAGCCGGCCUGAGAGGGUGUCCGGCCACACUGGGACUGAGACACUGCCCAGACUCCUACGGGAGGCUGCAGUCGAGAAUCUUCCACCAAUGCGCGAAAGCGUGAUGGAGCAACGCCGCGUGUGCGAUGAAGGCUUUCGGGUUGUAAAGCACUGUUGGAAGGGCGUAAUUGCCAUCGGUUAAUACCCGUGUGGUUUGAACUCCCUUCGGAGGAAGCACCGGCUAAAUUCGUGCCAGCAGCCGCGGUAAUACGAAUGGUGCAAACGUUGUUCGGAAUCACUGGGCAUAAAGAGCACGUAGGCGGUCCAGUCAGUCAGCUGUGAAAUCCCUCGGCUCAACCGAGGAACUGCAGCUGAUACUGCUGGACUAGAGUACGGGAGGGGGACAUCGGAAUUCCCGUUGGAGCUGUGAUAUGCUUACAUAUCAGAAGGAACGCCGAACGCGAAAGCKKCUCUCUGGUCCGUUACUGACGCUGAGGUGCGAAAGCUAGGGGAGCAAACAGGAUUAGAUACCCUGGUAGUCCUAGCUGUAAACGAUGGGCACUAAGUAGGGGGACUCCCAAGGUCUCCCUGCCGGAGCUAAUGUGUUAAGUGCCCCGCCUGGGAAGUACGGUCGCAAGGCUGAAACUCAAAGGAAUUGACGGGGGCUCACACAAGCGGUGGAGCAUGUUGUUUAAUUCGACGCAACGCGAAGAACCUUACCUGGGCUUGACAUUCAAGUGGUACCAAACCGAAAGGGGCGGGACCGUCUUUUGGCGGAGCUUGAACAGGUAUUGCAUGGCUGUCGUCAGCUCGUGUCGUGAGAUGUUGGGUUAAGUCCCGUAACGAGCGCAACCCUUGUCCUUAGUUGCCAGCGGAUCAUGCCGGGGACUCUAGGGAGACUGCCGGUGUUAAACCGGAGGAAGGCGGGGAUGACGUCAAGUCAUCAUGGUCCUUACGCCCAGGGCUACAAACGUGCUACAAUGGUCGGUACAAAGGGACGCUAGACCGCGAGGUCACGCAAAUCUCAAAAAGCCGGCCCCAGUUCGGAUUGGAGGCUGCAAUUCGCCUCCAUGAAGUCGGAAUCGCUAGUAAUCGCAGAUCAGCUACGCUGCGGUGAAUAUGUUCCUGAGCCUUGUACACACCGCCCGUCAAGCCACCCAAAUAGGCAGCACCCGAAGUCGCAGACCCAACCUUAGGGAGGGAUGCGCCGAAGGUGAGGUUUGUGAGGGGGACUAAGUCGUAACAAGGUAGCC